rnacentral:rRNA from 1 species
GACGAACGCUGGCGGCGUGCUUAACACAUGCAAGUCAAACGGAAAGGCCCUGCUUUUGUGGGGUGCUCGAGUGGCGAACGGGUGAGUAACACGUGAGUAACCUGCCCUUGACUUUGGGAUAACUUCAGGAAACUGGGGCUAAUACCGGAUAGGAGCUCCUGCUGCAUGGUGGGGGUUGGAAAGUUUCGGCGGUUGGGGAUGGACUCGCGGCUUAUCAGCUUGUUGGUGGGGUAGUGGCUUACCAAGGCUUUGACGGGUAGCCGGCCUGAGAGGGUGACCGGCCACAUUGGGACUGAGAUACGGCCCAGACUCCUACGGGAGGCAGCAGUGGGGAAUAUUGCACAAUGGGCGGAAGCCUGAUGCAGCAACGCCGCGUGCGGGAUGACGGCCUUCGGGUUGUAAACCGCUUUCGCCUGUGACGAAGCGUGAGUGACGGUAAUGGAUAAAGAAGCACCGGCUAACUACGUG